UACAGUAGUCUAGUAGUAGCAGACAGGCCCCACUAUCAACAGAUUUUAACGGCUUCCUGAGUUGUAAGGAUUAAGUGCUAACACUAAAAGGAAUGAAGAAAAAAAGCACUGUAGAAUAAUACUAAGCCUUUGAGUACUGACCAAAGUGGAAACGUCUCUUCAUCAUCGAUUGAUUUCCGGACGAUAACACCGCGCGUUUAUAACAGAUAUCAGUGCCAACGACAGUAUUGAUAAAGAAAGAGAUAUAAAGGAGAGACACAAGAGCUCCAAAAUGUGCCAGCCAGGAUGGAAUGCAGAAAGUAUGAAACCAGACUUCCAAUCGUACAUAGACAGUCGACAUUUGGACCUGUUUGCUUUUAAAUAAACGCUUUUGAAUCUACAGAUUCCAUCAUGAUAUUAGUUAAAACUGCCCGACGUUUACACCGUACAAGGUAUAUAGAAAAUGCAGAACAGGUAUUAUUUUAUUGUCCUCGUUUUUUAAUUACAAGGAAAAAACUAAAAACUACACUCGUUGGUAGUUUUGCAGACUUCGAAAAUAUGUGGACAGACAUGUGAUUCAGUUUACUGAGAAAUGGAAAACGAAUGGAAACGUAAGUCUGGGAUCCGUCAACGAGUGAGAUUGAGGAAUUGUUUACAUACAGUAACCCCUCACUGCGCACGUGAAUGGACGGUAAUAAGGCUGGAGAGAACCAGAGAACCAUAUUGGCAAGCGCUGUUUCUGUUAUAGGCGGAGUCCAUCGGUUCCAUUUGCAAAACCAAGUGAGUCAUGUCGAGGAUGACGUGGGUGGAUGAGCAAGGACUUCUGGAGGAGAAUCUGAAGGAUAAUAUUCCUCCAGAUUAAUCUCCAACAAUUUUAUUGCUUCGUCUCAAACAAGACGGAGCCGAUGUCGUCCUAAUCCUAGUAACAUCUGGAUUGAGGGGGAAUAGUAAUAAGCUGCUGGUGGCCAAUGAUGCAGGUAGAAGCAGAGCCUGUAUGAUGGUCAGAGAUGAAUUAACGGUAUUUCUUUUACCAAACGCAAAACUGGAAUGCAACAUUAGAGAUUUCUUGUUAAUCUUUGCAUACAUGCCGCCCGACGAUGAGGUGGGACCAGCUCCUUUAUUGUUAAGAAAGACCUAGGUGAGAUCCAGCGAUCUAUUUGCCCACAGUAAGAUUAGCCUCUCCCCAGUUGUGGGGCUUUUAACAGGCCUUUGCCUGAAAUUGUAUGGAAGAAGA